GGCGGAGGGAUCAUUA
rnacentral:rRNA from 21 species